CCUGGGACAGCUGGGGACAGCUGGGGAUACACCUGGGACAGCUGGGGAUACACCUGGGACACCUGGGACAGCUGGGGAUACACCUGGGACAGCUGGGAAUACACCUGGAGAUACACCUGGGACAGCUGGGGACACACCUGGGACAGCUGGGAAUACACCUGGAGAUACACCUGGGACAGCUGGGGACAGCUGGGACAGCUGGGGAUACAUCUGGGGACAGCUGGGGAUACACCUGGGACAGGUGAGUGUCACCUGGGGACACCUGGGACAGCUGGGGACAGCUGGGACAGCUGGGGAUACAUCUGGGGACAGCUGGGGAUACACCUGGGACAGGUGAGUGUCACCUGGGGACACCUGGGACAGCUGGGGAUAUACCUGGGACACCUGGGACAGCUGGGGGUGUCCCCCAAGUGUCCCCAGCCCCACCUGGGCAGGUUGUACAGGGGGGGUUACAGUGUCCCCCAGGUCUCCCCAGUGUCCCCCAGUGUCCCCAGGUGUCCCCAGUGUCCCCAGUCCCACCUGGGCAGGUUGUACAGGGGGGUUACAGUGUCCCCCCAGGUGUCCCCCAGGUGUCCCCAGUGUCCCCACCUGGGCAGGUUGUACAGGGGGGUCAGGUUGUCCCCAGUGUCCCCCCAGGUGUCCCCAGCCCCACCUGGGCAGGUUGUACAGGGGGGUUACAGUGUUCCCCCAGUGUCCCCAGUGUCCCCCCAGGUGUCCCCAGUGUUCCCAGUCCCACCUGGGCAGGUUGUACAGGGGGGUUACAGUGUUCCCCCAGGUGUCCCCAGUGUCCCCAGUGUCCCCCCCAGGUGUCCCCAGUCCCACCUGGGCAGGUUGUACAGGGGGGUUACAGUGUUCCCCCAGGUGUCCCCAGUGUCCCCCCAGGUGUCCCCAGUCCCACCUGGGCAGGUUGUACAGGGGGGUCAUGCGGAAGCAGGCGACGACGGCGCGGCGCCGCUGUUUGGAGAGCAGCUUGUGCCACACGGCCUUCUUGGACUUGUAGGGGUGCUCCGUCUGUGGGGGGACACCGGGGUCACCUGGGGCCACCUGGGGCCACCCGGGAACACCUGGGAACACCUGGGGGUCAUCUGGGGUCACCCGGGGGUCACCUGGGGUCACAUUGGGGUCACCCGGGAACACCUGGGGUCACCUGGGGGUCAUCUGGGAUCACCCGGGGGUCACCUGGGGUCACCUGGGGUCAUAUUUGGGUCACCUGGGGUCACCUGGGGUCACCUGGGGGUCAUCUGGGGCCAUCCGGGGUCACCUGGGGUCACCUGGGGGUCACCUGGGGUC
rnacentral:lncRNA from 1 species